rnacentral:rRNA from 1 species
UGCCAGCCGCCGCGGUAAUACGGAGGGUGCAAGCGUUAUCCGGAAUUAUUGGGUUUAAAGGGUGCGUAGGCGGCAUAUUAAGUCAGUGGUGAAAUCCUACCGCUUAACGGUAGCAAGUCCAUUGAAACUGAAAUGCUUGAGCAAAGAAGAGGUAAGCAGAAUUUAUAGAGUAGCGGUGAAAUGCAUAGAUACUAUAAGGAAUACCGAUAGCGAAGGCAGCUUACUGGUCUUUAGCUGACGCUGAAGCACGAAAGCGUGGUUAGCGAACAGGAUUAGAUA